rnacentral:tRNA from 1 species
CAUUGGGUAGCUGAAAGUCAGCUCAGGUCUCUUAAACCUUCUUAUAAUAGAUUAACGCCUAUUCCCAAUG